CCAAUAAAAAUCCUGCAAAGGGUGAAACACAGCUCUAAAAGGAGCGUUGGCCAAGGAUUCGGAGGACCCGGACAAAGGUAUAAGGAAGGCGAUGACCAAUGU